rnacentral:rRNA from 1 species
AUUGAACGCUGGCGGCAUGCUUUACACAUGCAAGUCGAACGGUAACAGGCCUUCGGGUGCUGACGAGUGGCGAACGGGUGAGUAAUGCAUCGGAACGUGCCCAAUCGUGGGGGAUAACGUAGCGAAAGUUACGCUAAUACCGCAUAAGCCCUGAGGGGGAAAGUGGGGGACCGCAAGGCCUCACGCGAAUGGAGCGGCCCGAUGUCAGAUUAGCUAGUUGGUGGGGUAAAGCCCACAAGGCGACGAUCUGUAGCGGGUCUGAGAGGAUGAUCCGCCACACUGGGACUGAGACACGGUCCAGACUCCUACGGGAGGCAGCAGUGGGGAAUAUUGGACAAUGGGGGCAACCCUGAUCCAGCCAUGCCGCGUGUGUGAAGAAGG